rnacentral:rRNA from 1 species
GGGCGGGGGCACGGGGGGCCUACGGGAGGCAGCAGUGGGGAAUAUUGGACAAUGGGCGAAAGCCUGAUCCAGCCAUGCCGCGUGUGUGAAGAAGGUCUUCGGAUUGUAAAGCACUUUAACUUGGGAGGAAGGGCAUUAACCUAAUACGUCUAGUGUUAUGACGGUACCGAGAGAAUAAGCA